UUAAACGCAAUGAUUGGGAGUAUUAAGGAAUAACUAUUGCCCAGAGAACUGUCGGUAGGUGCAAGACAGUCAAUGGUUCCCCCAACUCACCCAUGAGUGGUAAGGUCGAACAUUAGUAGAUCUUAACGGCUAACCUCCGUAAUCGGGUUCUAAGAUUCGUUGUCGUUUUACUUAUAACAACGAUCAAGAAGAGUGGUACCGCGAAGGUUAAACCUGUCGCCUCUUUG
rnacentral:ncRNA from 1 species